rnacentral:misc_RNA from 1 species
UCCGGUUUGGCACCGGCAGUCUCCCUAGAGUCCCCGACAUUACUCGCUGGCAACUAAGGACAGGGGUUGCGCUCGUUGCGGGACUUAACCCAACAUCUCACGACACGAGCUGACGACAGUCAUGCAGCACCUGUGUCCAGGCCCCGUAAGGGGAGGAAUCCAUCUCUGGAAACCGUCCUGGCAUGUCAAACGCUGGUAAGGUUCUGCGCGUUGCGUCGAAUUAAUCCACAUGCUCCGCCGCUUGUGCGGGCCCCCGUCAAUUCCUUUGAGUCUUAGCCUUGCGGCCGUACUCCCCAGGCGGGGCGCUUAAUGCGUUAGCUACGGCACGGAUCCCGUGGAAGGAAACCCACACCUAGCGCCCACCGUUUACGGCGUGGACUAC